UACGUAGGGGGCUAGCGUUGUCCGGAUUUACUGGGCGUAAAGGGCGCGUAGGCGGCCAGCACAAGUCAGUUGUGAAAUCUCCGGGCUUAACUCGGAAAGGUCAACUGAUACUGUGCGGCUAGAGUGCAGAAGGGGCAACUGGAAUUCUCGGUGUAGCGGUGAAAUGCGUAGAUAUCGAGAGGAACACCUGCGGCGAAGGCGGGUUGCUGGGCUGACACUGACGCUGAUGCGCGAAAGCCAGGGGAGCGAACGGG
rnacentral:rRNA from 1 species